rnacentral:rRNA from 1 species
AAGCUUGCUCCCUGAUGUUAGCGGCGGACGGGUGAGUAACACGUGGGUAACCUGCCUGUAAGACUGGGAUAACUCCGGGAAACCGGGGCUAAUACCGGAUGCUUGUUUGAACCGCAUGGUUCAAACAUAAAAGGUGGCUUCGGCUACCACUUACAGAUGGACCCGCGGCGCAUUAGCUAGUUGGUGAGGUAAUGGCUCACCAAGGCAACGAUGCGUAGCCGACCUGAGAGGGUGAUCGGCCACACUGGGACUGAGACACGGCCCAGACUCCUACGGGAGGCAGCAGUAGGGAAUCUUCCGCAAUGGACGAAAGUCUGACGGAGCAACGCCGCGUGAGUGAUGAAGGUUUUCGGAUCGUAAAGCUCUGUUGUUAGGGAAGAACAAGUGCCGUUCAAAUAGGGCGGCACCUUGACGGUACCUAACCAGAAAGCCACGGCUAACUACGUGCCAGCAGCCGCGGUAAUACGUAGGUGGCAAGCGUUGUCCGGAAUUAUUGGGCGUAAAGGGCUCGCAGGCGGUUUCUUAAGUCUGAUGUGAAAGCCCCCGGCUCAACCGGGGAGGGUCAUUGGAAACUGGGGGAACUUGAGUGCAGAAGAGGAGAGUGGAAUUCCACGUGUAGCGGUGAAGUGCGUAGAGAUGUGGAGGAACACCAGUGGCGAAGGCGACUCUCUGGUCUGUAACUGACGCUGAGGGAGCGAAAGCGUGGGGAGCGAACAGGAUUAGAUACCCUGGGUAGUCCACGCGCGUAAACGAUGAGGUGCUAAGUGUUAGGGGGUUUCCGCCCCUUAGUGCUGCAGCUAA